rnacentral:sRNA from 1 species
AAUUCAUUUGUUUUUUGUGUUACUGAACCAAAUACAUGUUCAUGCUCAUUUCAUUAGCUCACGACUGGGUCAAGCCUCAGGUAGAGUCUGAAACAAAAGCUAUCAUUAGCAAAGAGAGGGUAAAAGGCUUUCACCUGCUGCCAGAACUCUCUGGAUACCUCUGCACGGUCAUUAGAUUCCUCCUGGUCCCGCGCUGUCUGCAUUGUAUUUGAACUCGCUUGUUAACCUGCUUCCUGAGCUGUGGUUCUGCUUCAGUCCCAAAUGAAUCACUGGCAAGGUAGCACAUCAUUUCAUCCAAAGUUCAGUGUAAUGGCAUCUCUGCCCUGGACAUGAAACCCUGAUCCUUUCCAUCUGCUACUGGAAUGCUGCUGCCUUGGCAGUCUUUUAUCUGCUUACCUCAGCCCAUAAACAUCUCUUUCUGAUCAUCAGGUCACAAGUGUAGGUGUUAGCUUCUAACCCCGAUGCUGUCUUAGGCAUUCCUUAUCAAUAGCUUUUUCUUUCUUUCUGUAAGAUUCUGGCUGUGUUCCGGUUGAGCAGUGGGGUCUUUGAAGGUAAUCCAUAUGAUUCCUCUUUCAUUAGAAGGUUGGGUGAGUGCUGCUGCUCUGAGAAGUUGAUUUUCACAGUAGGUGACCUUAUUUGUUGACCAGGUACGUGCAGGAUCUCAAGGCCCACAUUCCUUAAGAAUUUGUUGUCUCCAUCCCAGGAUCAGAAGUCUUCAUUUUCCCCCACCCCAAUCGCCACCUUCUAUUUUCUAUCACAGAACCUAUGAGUUCCAGGCCAGACCUUUGACCACAAAACUGACUGUUGUUUCCCUCUGGCCAUACGGAGAUCAUUGCUCAGGGAAAACUUUGGCUGAAAUGGUGAAUUUAAGGUUUCUAAAGGCACUAGAUAGACACAUGAUUAUAAAAGCAAGCACUUCUGUACAGCCUGGCCUGGAGGAUAUUGAGAAGCUUUUCUCUCUGGCCUAGUAUAUUUAUAAGAACUGGAUGUACUUGGUCUCAGGACCUCACCAGGCUUGGAAAGUAAGCCAACCGAAGGUAAGUAGAGAUGGAAGAUGUACACCUGGAGCCCUCUAAAGGGAAGCAGGCUAGGGAAACGACCGACGUCUGGAAAUGGCAUGAAAGUGGCAUAAUAUGCAGGGCUACCUGGGCAGCCAGCCGUCUUUAUGUUCGUCUGGAACAGCAGUCCCUGUGUGAUUUGGUCAAAGCCCCUGAGUCCUAGCCUCUAACCUUCUCUUCCCAUGUAUUCAGCUCUACCUACAAGGACUCCAACACUCUGCACCUCCCUACGGAGCGUUUCUCCCCUGUGCGCCGGUUCUCAGAUGGGGCUGCGAGCAUCCAGGCCUUCAAAGCUCACCUGGAAAAAAUGGGCAACAACAGCAGCAUCAAACAGCUGCAGCAGGAGUGUGAGCAGCUGCAGAAGAUGUACGGGGGGCAGAUUGAUGAAAGAACCCUGGAGAAGACCCAGCAGCAGCAUAUGUUAUACCAGCAGGAGCAGCACCAUCAAAUUCUCCAGCAACAAAUUCAAGACUCUAUCUGUCCUCCUCAGCCAUCUCCACCUCUUCAGGCUGCAUGUGAAAAUCAGCCAGCCCUCCUUACCCAUCAGCUCCAGAGGUUAAGGAUUCAGCCUUCAAGCCCACCCCCCAACCACCCCAACAACCAUCUCUUCAGGCAGCCCAGUAAUAGUCCUCCCCCCAUGAGCAGUGCCAUGAUCCAGCCUCACGGUGCUGCAUCUUCUUCCCAGUUUCAAGGCUUACCUUCCCGCAGUGCAAUCUUUCAGCAGCAACCUGAGAACUGUUCCUCUCCUCCCAACGUGGCACUAACCUGCUUGGGUAUGCAGCAGCCUGCUCAGUCACAGCAGGUCACCAUCCAAGUCCAAGAGCCUGUUGACAUGCUCAGCAACAUGCCAGGCACAGCUGCAGGCUCCAGUGGGCGCGGCAUCUCCAUCAGCCCCAGUGCCAGUCAAAUGCAGAUGCAGCACCGUACCAACCUGAUGGCCACCCUCAGCUAUGGGCACCGUCCCUUGUCCAAGCAGCUGAGUGCUGACAGUGCAGAGGCUCAUAGUGCACAUCAGCAGCCGCCACACUAUACCACAUCGGCACUACAGCAGGCCCUGCUGUCUCCCACGCCGCCAGACUAUACAAGACACCAGCAGGUACCCCACAUCCUUCAAGGACUGCUUUCUCCCCGGCAUUCGCUCACCGGCCACUCGGACAUCCGGCUGCCCCCAACAGAGUUUGCACAGCUCAUUAAAAGGCAGCAGCAACAACGGCAGCAGCAGCAGCAACAGCAGCAACAGCAAGAAUACCAGGAACUGUUCAGGCACAUGAACCAAGGGGAUGCAGGGAGUCUGGCUCCCAGCCUUGGGGGACAGAGCAUGACAGAGCGCCAGGCUUUAUCUUAUCAAAAUGCUGACUCUUAUCACCAUCACACCAGCCCCCAGCAUCUGCUACAAAUCAGGGCACAAGAAUGUAUCUCACAGGCUUCCUCAGCCACCCCGCCCCACGGGUAUGCUCACCAGCCGGCACUGAUGCAUUCAGAGAGCAUGGAGGAGGACUGCUCAUGUGAGGGGGCCAAGGACGGCUUCCCAGACAGUAAGAGUUCAAGUACAUUGACCAAAGGUUGCCAUGACAGCCCUCUGCUCUUGAGUACCGGUGGACCUGGGGACCCUGAAUCUUUGCUAGGAACUGUGAGUCAUGCCCAAGAAUUGGGGAUACAUCCCUAUGGUCAUCAGCCAACUGCUGCAUUCAGUAAAAAUAAGGUGCCCAGCAGAGAGCCUGUCAUAGGGAACUGCAUGGAUAGAAGUUCUCCAGGACAAGCAGUGGAGCUGCCGGAUCACAAUGGGCUCGGGUACCCAGCGCACCCCUCCGUCCAUGAGCACCACAGGCCCCGGGCCCUCCAGAGACACCACACGAUCCAGAACAGCGACGAUGCUUAUGUACAGCUGGAUAACUUGCCAGGAAUGAGUCUCGUGGCUGGGAAAGCACUUAGCUCUGCCCGGAUGUCGGAUGCAGUUCUCAGUCAGUCUUCACUCAUGGGCAGCCAGCAGUUUCAGGAUGGGGAAAAUGAGGAAUGUGGGGCAAGCCUGGGAGGUCAUGAGCACCCAGACCUGAGUGAUGGCAGCCAGCAUUUAAACUCCUCUUGCUAUCCAUCUACGUGUAUUACAGACAUUCUGCUCAGCUACAAGCACCCCGAAGUCUCCUUCAGCAUGGAGCAGGCAGGCGUGUAACCAGAAACAGAGAGUUUUGUGUACAGCUUGGGAAUGAAAAGGUUGAUUGUAAACCCACAGUAUCUAGCAGCGUUGCGCCAAAUUUCCCUUGUGUUUCUCUCUACCCAAAAUAUCACAGCUGCUUUCCUCACAUUUGGUUCAUCCAUGUGCUGGUUCUUUUGGGUUCUGAGAGGGUUUUGCCAUGUUUGCUUGUAUGACCAAGUCACCAAGGAAAUAAACAGGAAGGAAAUCC